GUUAAACUGUAUGUCGCGCUGUAGACAGCAGGUGCCGCAAGGCUUAAUGUAACCUGCCGAGGUCGUCGACACUCUGACACUUCAAAGGAACGUUUGACUUUGACAGCGUUUGGGUUCGAGAAAAGACCUCCGUCGCAAAGCGGGGGUCUUUUGGUUUACAGCA
rfam:Acidibacillus ferrooxidans strain ITV001 contig0073, whole genome shotgun sequence.